rnacentral:rRNA from 1 species
UUAUAUGGAGAGUUUGAUCCUGGCUCAGGACGAACGCUGGCGGCGUGCCUAAUACAUGCAAGUCGAGCGGACGGAUGGGAGCUUGCUCCCUGAAGUCAGCGGCGGACGGGUGAGUAACACGUGGGCAACCUGCCUGUAAGACUGGGAUAACUUCGGGAAACCGGAGCUAAUACCGGAUAAUGCAYARCCUCUCAUGAGGCUAUGCUGAAAGAUGGUUUCGGCUAUCACUUACAGAUGGGCCCGCGGCGCAUUAGCUAGUUGGUGAGGUAACGGCUCACCAAGGCAACGAUGCGUAGCCGACCUGAGAGGGUGAUCGGCCACACUGGGACUGAGACACGGCCCAGACUCCUACGGGAGGCAGCAGUAGGGAAUCUUCCGCAAUGGACGAAAGUCUGACGGAGCAACGCCGCGUGAGUGAUGAAGGUUUUCGGAUCGUAAAACUCUGUUGUCAGGGAAGAACAAGUGCCGGAGUAACUGCCGGCACCUUGACGGUACCUGACCAGAAAGCCACGGCUAACUACGUGCCAGCAGCCGCGGUAAUACGUAGGUGGCAAGCGUUGUCCGGAAUUAUUGGGCGUAAAGCGCGCGCAGGCGGUCUCUUAAGUCUGAUGUGAAAGCCCACGGCUCAACCGUGGAGGGUCAUUGGAAACUGRGGGACUUGAGUGCAGAAGAGGAAAGUGGAAUUCCACGUGUAGCGGUGAAAUGCGUAGAGAUGUGGAGGAACACCAGUGGCGAAGGCGACUUUCUGGUCUGUAACUGACGCUGAGGCGCGAAAGCGUGGGGAGCAAACAGGAUUAGAUACCCUGGUAGUCCACGCCGUAAACGAUGAGUGCUAAGUGUUAGAGGGUUUCCGCCCUUUAGUGCUG